rnacentral:rRNA from 1 species
GUACGGCGAGCGAAAAGGGAGGAGCCCAGCGCCGAAUCCCCGACCUUCGGUCGUGGGAGAUGUGGUGUUUAGGAGUGAGCGUGCCGAGUUCGACGGCUGCGGCAAGUCCCCCUGACCGGGGCCUGUCCGUAGCGGGUGCGAGGCCCAUAGCCGCCGCUUUCGUCUCGGAUGCGAUCUCCUUGGAGUCGGGUUGCUUGGGAGUGCAGCCCUAAUCGGGUGGUAAACUCCACCUAAGGCUAAAUACCGCCGUGAGACCGAUAGCAAACAAGUACCGUGAGGGAAAGUUGCAAAGAACUUUGAAGAGAGAGUUCAAGAGUACGUGAAACUGCUCAGAGGUAAACGGGUGGGCCCUCGAAAUCCUGUGGCGAGAGGAUUCAGUCUGGCUCGGCGGACCUGCGGUUGGAAAACUCGGGUAGGGCUUCCCGUGACUGGGGCCGUCCUGCCGCGGGGCUUCCGUYGUUCCAGACGCAUUUGUCUCUCGUCCGAAGGACGCUGCAGCCGGUUUGGAAGUGCAAGCGCGGCGGCCUGAAGGUCGGGUAAUGGCAGGUGGCCGGCGGCCCGCCUUGUGUGGGUUGUCGGUUGUUAGCCGUCCCGUCAGUGGCUCGUCUCCAGACCGAGGUGUCGCGAGUCCCGUCAGGGACUCUUCGUCUCCACCCC